AGGAUUAGAUACCCGGGUAGUCCCAGCUGUAAACGAUGCAGGCUAGGUGUUUGGACGGCCACGUGCCGUUCUAGUGCCGCAGGGAAGCUGUUAAGCCUGCCGCCUGGGGAGUACGAUCGCAAGAUUGAAACUUAAAGGAAUUGGCGGGGGAGCACCACAAGGGGUGAAGCUUGCGGUUUAAUUGGAGUCAACGCCGGAAAUCUCACCGGGAGCGACAGCAGUGUGAAGGCCAGAUUAAAGGUCUUGCCAGACGAGCUGAGAGGAGGUGCAUGGCCGUCGCCAGUUCGUGCCGUGAGGUGUCCUGUUAAGUCAGGCAACGAUCGAGACCCGCGUCCUCUGUUGCUACUAGCCUUGUGCUGGGCACACUGAGGAGACCGCCACUGAUAAAGUGGAGGAAGGAGCGGGCCACGGCAGGUCAGUAUGCCCCGAAUCUCCCGGGCCACACGCGAGCUGCAAUGGCAGGUACAAUGGGUUCCGACCUCGAAAGGGGGAGGCAAUCUCGAAAGCCUGCCGUAGUUGGAAUCGAGGGUUGAAACCCACCCUCGUGAACAUGGAAUCCCUAGUAAUCGCGUGUCACUAGCGCGCGGUGAAUACGUCCCUGCUCCUUGCACACACCGCCCGUCGUUCCACCCGAGCGACUCUUGGGUGAGGUGCCGUCCUCUGUGGCGGUAUCGAAUCUAAGUUUCGUGAGGGGGGAAAAGUCGUAACAAG
rnacentral:rRNA from 1 species